CAAAUUAGAGCUUGGAAGAAGCAUUUUAUUUACAUUAAAAAGUUUGUCGUGAAAUACGGUUUAAUUUGA
rnacentral:tRNA from 1 species